GACGUAGGAUGCAAGCGUUGUCCGGAAUUAUUGGGCGUAAAGAGUUCGUAGGCGGUUGCCUAAGUCUGAUGUUAAAUACUGGGGCUUAACGCCAGCAUGGCAUUGGAAACUGGGCAGCUAGAGUGCGGUAGAGGUCUCGGGAAUUCCAGGUGUAGCGGUGAAAUGCGUAGAUAUCUGGAGGAACACCGGUGGCGAAAGCGGGACUCUGGGCCGAUACUGGCGCUGAGGAGCGAAAGCGUGGGGAGCAAACAGG
rnacentral:rRNA from 1 species